rnacentral:rRNA from 1 species
GACGAACGCUGGCGGCGUGCCUAAUACAUGCAAGUAGAACGCUGAAGAGAGGAGCUUGCUCUUCUUGGAUGAGUUGCGAACGGGUGAGUAACGCGUAGGUAACCUGCCUUGUAGCGGGGGAUAACUAUUGGAAACGAUAGCUAAUACCGCAUAACAAUGGAUGACACAUGUCAUUUAUUUGAAAGGGGCAAUUGCUCCACUACAAGAUGGACCUGCGUUGUAUUAGCUAGUAGGUGAGGUAACGGCUCACCUAGGCGACGAUACAUAGCCGACCUGAGAGGGUGAUCGGCCACACUGGGACUGAGACACGGCCCAGACUCCUACGGGAGGCAGCAGUAGGGAAUCUUCGGCAAUGGGGGCAACCCUGACCGAGCAACGCCGCGUGAGUGAAGAAGGUUUUCGGAUCGUAAAGCUCUGUUGUAAGUCAAGAACGAGUGUGAGAGUGGAAAGUUCACACUGUGACGGUAGCUUACCAGAAAGGGACGGCUAACUACGUGCCAGCAGCCGCGGUAAUACGUAGGUCCCGAGCGUUGUCCGGAUUUAUUGGGCGUAAAGCGAGCGCAGGCGGUUUGAUAAGUCUGAAGUUAAAGGCUGUGGCUCAACCAUAGUUCGCUUUGGAAACUGUCAAACUUGAGUGCAGAAGGGGAGAGUGGAAUUCCAUGUGUAGCGGUGAAAUGCGUAGAUAUAUGGAGGAACACCGGUGGCGAAAGCGGCUCUCUGGUCUGUAACUGACGCUGAGGCUCGAAAGCGUGGGGAGCGAACAGGAUUAGAUACCCUGGUAGUCCGCGCCGUAAACGAUGAGUGCUAGGUGUUGGAUCCUUUCCGGGAUUCAGUGCCGCAGCUAACGCAUUAAGCACUCCGCCUGGGGAGUACGACCGCAAGGUUGAAACUCAAAGGAAUUGACGGGGGCCCGCACAGGCGGUGGAGCAUGUGGUUUAACUCGAAGCAACGCGAAGAACCUUACCAGGUCUUGACAUCCCGAUGCUAUUUCUAGAGAUAGAAAGUUACUUCGGUACAUCGGUGACAGGUGGUGCAUGGUUGUCGUCAGCUCGUGUCGUGAGAUGUUGGGUUAAGUCCCGCAACGAGCGCAACCCCUAUUGUUAGUUGCCAUCAUUCAGUUGGGCACUCUAGCGAGACUGCCGGUAAUAAACCGGAGGAAGGUGGGGAUGACGUCAAAUCAUCAUGCCCCUUAUGACCUGGGCUACACACGUGCUACAAUGGUUGGUACAACGAGUUGCGAGUCGGUGACGGCAAGCUAAUCUCUUAAAGCCAAUCUCAGUUCGGAUUGUAGGCUGCAACUCGCCUACAUGAAGUCGGAAUCGCUAGUAAUCGCGGAUCAGCACGCCGCGGUGAAUACGUUCCCGGGCCUUGUACACACCGCCCGUCACACCACGAGAGUUUGUAACACCCGAAGUCGGUGAGGUAACCUUUUGGAGCCAGCCGCCUAAGGUGGGAUAGACGAUUGGGGUG